CUACAACCUUGACCCGGUGUAACAGAUGGACAAUUCCCCCUUCCUUUGAGCGGGAACGGACAACAACAAGUGAACAAGAAAGCUGUUUCCAACUGCAUUUUGAGUGUAUAGCAGUAUCGAUGCUUCCAAGUCUAUGUAUAGAAUGGUUUGGGGAUGAAGAUGAAAGUGACCCGAGGUAGCCUGUUGAGCUGAACGAUAAAACAUCUGCUCAAAUGGAAAACUUUAGCAUAGACACUGUGGUAGGUGAUGAAGUCAGUGUUAAAUCAUCUACCCCAACAAACAUUAAAAGUGGGGAACUUUAACAGGAUCCGGUUAGUGCUGAUUCCUCUGCACCAUCAGACGACAAAUGUACUUCAGUGGUGGAUACUGUCAGUGUGGACUCGUCUGCAAUUUUGGAUGACAACCGUGCUGAGUCCCCUCAGUUGUUUAAUCAGAUGCAGUUGAUGCACCUUCGGGCGACUUUCUUGGUAUUCAGGUAGAGCACGGAGUCAACAUAGAACCAUUUGCUCCUUUAGAAUACAGCGGCAGUGACAUUUUAUUAAAUAAUCAGAAAAUGUGAUACAAAUGGAAAACAUUUAUGGUGUAAUAGCUGAAGUAAAGUAAUUUCUUUUAAUACCUGAGUUGAAAGAACAUGAAAAUCUAACGCACAGAAAGCAGGUUCUUACAUGUGAUCAUUGUGAAAAGACAUACCGCUCACGACACUGGCUAAUGGUUCACAAACCACACAGCAGCCAUUUACGAUUCACGUCCCCUCACUGAGGAAAAGUGAAAAUCAGGACAAAAAAGCUUUUCGAAGGACACAUGUCCAAACACACUCUGGAAAUGAACCAAGAACCAAGAACACUUACAAUGUUUGUUCUUUUUAAAAUGUUUCGGAUAAAAAGGUUCAUUGUACAAGCAUAAAAAAGAAAAUUUGCAAGAACUAAGUUAGCAGUAUGUUAUGGAAGCCAUUGAGAAAACAUUUAUUUGUCCCCUACUGGUUGUAAACCUGUUUCAGAGACUGUAGGAAUGAGCUUUUCCUUCAUUCUGUCAUUACAUCAUUCCGUCCGCCCACAAUUUCAUGUCUGGUCCAUAACUCUUUCAUCCAUGAAAUUGAAGGGAUUUUAAUAUAACUUGGCACAUAUGUUCUCCAUGAUGAGACCAUAUGUCAUGUACAAAAACCAGACCCCUGCCUUAAAUGUCGAGGUCACAAUUGAGGUCAACAGGGCUUUUUUCCUGUCAGGUCCAUGACUCUCCCAUCCAUGAAGGGACUUUAAUAUCACUUGGCACAAUGUGUCAUGCAUAAUAUUCAACCCCUCCCCCACCCCCAGCUCAAAGGUCAAGGUCACACUUGGCAUUAAAAUGUUAACAUGGCAUGAGCCGGGUCUAUUUUGUUUCUGGUCCAUAAUUCUGUCAUUCAUUAAGGGAUUUCAAUAUCACUUCGCACAGAUGUUCCCCAUGAUGAAACGACGUGUCAUGAGCAAAUCCCGGACCCUUUGCUCAAAGGUCCAUGUUACAAUUUAGGGUUAAAGAUCGGUAGGACUUUUUUCUAUCCAGUCCAUAACUCUGCAAUCCAUAAGGGAUUUCGAUAUAACUUGGUCCAAAUGUUCCCCAUGAUAACAAAAUAUGUCCUGUGUAAAAACCGGACCCCUAGCUCAAAGGUCAAGGUCAAGGUCAAUUGGAGGCCAAAGGUAAAUAGGUGUUUUUCCUAUCCGGUCCAGAACUCUGUCAUCCAUCAAGGGAUUACAAUGUUACUUAGCAUAAAUGUUCCCCGUGAUGAGACGACAUGUCAUGUUCAGCACUCCCUAACUUAAAGGUAAAGGUCACACUUUGAUAUCAAAUGUCGAUUUCUUCUUUAUGCAUGGUUAUUUUUAUGUAACUUCGCACAAAUUAUGGCUCCUUAUUUUGUUUGCUUACAAUAUUUUUUUUAAUUACUUCCCUUUUAUGUUACUAUUAAUAGCUUAUUUAAUAACUUUUUUAUUAUUGGCCGUAGGGAAAAACCGAGACUACUUUUCUGUGGUACAACAUGGAUGGUACACAAAAUAUUUAGGUGUAUUUUGAUACCUGUACCUUGUAGGACUUUUUCUUUUUGUUUUUGGUUAAAGCAAUGGUACUCGUGAGCAAUUAGAAUUAUGUCCCUUUGUUGUUACUGUAAAUAAAUAACAUAGCAAAUUUUUAAUACUGGCUGUAGGAAAAAAUUGAGACCACUUUUCUGUGAUACAACAUUCAUGUUACAUCAAAUUUUUAGGUGUAUUCUGAUCUAUAUCUACCUGGUAAAAUAGUUUCUUGUGGACUUAUAUAGAAUUUUUAUGCCCAGCAUGUACUGAUGCGGGAGGCAUAUAGUGAUUGUCCUGUCCGUUCGUUCAUCCGUAAAGGUCAAAUAUGGCUAUAAUUGACUUUGUCCGGACCAUAAGUUUGGCAUUGAUUCUGAGAUUUUAAAAUAACUUGGCAGCCUUGUUCACCACCAUGAGACAGCAUGUCACGCGCAACAUCAAUGUCAGUAUCUUAAAGGUCAAGGUCACACUUGGAGUGUAAAGGUCUACUAUGGCUAUAAUUGAGCUUGUCCAGACCAUAAGUUUGUCAUUGUGGGAUUUUAAAAUAACUUGGCACAAUUGUUCACCACAAGACGGCUUGUCGUUCGCAACACCCGUGUCAAUAUCUGAAAUGUCAAGGUCAAACUUGGAGUUGAAAUGUCAAAUAUGGCUAUAACUUACAUUGUCCAGACAAUUGAAAGUGGUGUUAUAAAAUAACCUGUCACAGUCGUUUACCACCAUCCACUUGAAAGAAUUUUAAUAAUAGUAUCAUAACUGUCAGUCAUUUUGACAGCUCAACAUGUUGACAGUGGGCAUGUAGUAAUUCCGUUUCAGUUGUGACAUCAAUAUUACAUAGACACUUUUAUGACAGGGUUAAUUUGUUACUGAUACGGAAUUCCAUUAUGACGUGUUUGGUAUUAACAUAACCUGGUUCUCUUUGCCAUAAGAUGUAAAUAACAUGUUUACCAUGUUACAAAUGUUCUCAGGUCUUCAGUCGUAGAAAAACAAUUAUUUAUAGAAUGUAUCUUAAAAUAUAGCGCAAAAUGA